AUUGAACGCUGGCGGCAUGCUUUACACAUGCAAGCCGAACGGUAACAGGCCGCAAGGUGCUGACGAGUGGCGAACGGGUGAGUAAUGCAUCGGAACGUGCCCAGUCGUGGGGGAUAACUACUCGAAAGAGUAGCUAAUACCGCAUACGAUCUAUGGAUGAAAGCGGGGGACCGUAAGGCCUCGCGCGAUUGGAGCGGCCGAUGUCGGAUUAGGUAGUUGGUGGGGUAAAGGCUCACCAAGCCAACGAUCUGUAGCUGGUCUGAGAGGACGACCAGCCAAACUGGGACUGAGACACGGCACAGACUCCUACGGGAGGCAGCAGUGGGGAAUUUUGGACAAUGGGCGCAAGCCUGAUCCAGCAAUGCCGCGUGCAGGAAGAAGGCCUUCGGGUUGUAAACUGCUUUUGUACGGAACGAAACGGCGCUGGUUAAUACCCGGGGCUAAUGACGGUACCGUAAGAAUAAGCACCGGCUAACUACGUG
rnacentral:rRNA from 1 species